rnacentral:rRNA from 1 species
AUGGUGAUCCUAGGAGGACCCUCACUCAAUUCAUCGUCGUCGGCGGUGGGACCCGAGCGGGUCACCUCAUCCACGAAAGCUGACCGCCGCUCUCAUGGUGGCCGCGGCCCCUCCCCUUUAUUUAUAGCUGGCCCCCUCUUCGCUUUAUUCUCGCCUCCACUCGAUCCAACAUACAGAGCACCUCCACUUCCCCACUGCUCCUCCUCCUCUUCCUCGCUCUCGCCACAGCAGAGCAGAGAGCACUCACUCACUGUGGACUAUCCAUCCACGCCCCUACUCCAGUCCGAGGAUAUUCUCGAGUUCAGCUGCGCGUGCAUGGAGAGAUUGCUGUCGCUGCUGCCGAUCGAUCGAUUCCAGCAGGAUCACUCCUCCGAUUAA